UACGUAGGCAGCAAGCGUUGUUCGGAAUUACUGGGCGUAAAGAGUGUGUAGGCGGUGCUCUAAGUUCGGUGUGAAAUCUCCCGGCUCAACUGGGAGGGUGCGCCGGAAACUGGGGUGCUGGAGCGCGGGAGAGGGAAAGCGGAAUUACCUCGGGUGUAGCGGUGAAAUGCGUAGAUAUCAGGAGGAACACCGGCGGUGUAGACGGCUUUCUGGACCGUAGCUGACGCUGGAGACACGAAAGCGUGGGUAGCAAACAGG
rnacentral:rRNA from 1 species